AAAGUACUCCCUCCGUCCCAAAACUCUUGUCUUAGAUUUGUCUAGAUACGGAUGUAUCAAGUCACAUUUUAGUAUUAGAUACAUCCGUAUCUAGACAAAUCUCAGACAAGAAAUUUGGGACAGAGGGGGUAGUUG
rnacentral:pre_miRNA from 1 species